CGGCUUUGGGAGGGGCUUGCGGCCUAUCAGCUAGAUGGUGGGGUAACGGCCUACCAUGGCGACGACGGGUAGCUGGUCUGAGAGGAUGGUCAGCCGGAUUGGGACUGAGAUACGGCCCAG
rnacentral:rRNA from 1 species